CCCUUAGACGUUCUGGGCCGCACGCGCGCUACACUGACGAAGGCAACGAGCUUUCCUUUACCGAAAGGUACGGGUAAUCUUUUGAAACUUCGUCGUGCUGGGGAUAGAUCCUUGCAAUUUUUGAUCUUAAACGAGGAAUGCCUAGUAAGCGCAAGUCAUCAACUUGCGUUGAUUACGUCCCUGCCCUUUGUACACACCGCCCGUCGCUACUACCGAUUGAAUGGUUUAGCGAGGCCUUCGGAUCCGCGACUCGUUUGUGGAGAAGUUGGACAAACUCAGUCAUUUAGAGGAAGUAAAAGUCGUAACA
rnacentral:rRNA from 1 species